rnacentral:lncRNA from 1 species
AUAUGUCCUGUGAGCUUAGGGGUGCUACAAGUUGACCACUGCAGCAGUAAAGAUGAUUCUGAAGAAUGGCAUGGGAUGGAUCCUUUCGAAUGCACUUGAGCAGCGGUCUCCAACCACAGGGCCACAGAGCUGGAGCUGGAUCUACCAUGAAAGACUUCUGAAUCCAGGAAGAGAGACUGACUGGGCAACAUGUUAUUCAGGGUCUCCCUCUGUUGUCCAAGGCUGGAGUGUAGUAGUGCUAUCACAGCUGACUGCAGCCUCAACCUUCCAGGCUGAAGCGAUCCUCCCAUCUCAACCUCCCACGUGGCUGAGACUACAGGCGCUUGCCACUAUGCCCAACUAAUAUUUGGAAUUUUCCUAUACGUGGAUUCCAGAGGGGUGACAGCGAAACGUGAGUAAGCAUGGAUUUUGGUAUAUGCAGAGAUGGGGGGCUGGAACUAAUUCUGUAUACUGAGGGAGGACUGUAUAUGUUUUUACAAUUACGCUGUAGGAUACAUACUGUUGCGUAGCCUUGAAAAUAAUAAUUUUUAAUUGAGUGGAAUAAUAAUAAUAUUGAUAAAAGUAGCAGCUGGUCAGGUGUGGUGGCUCACACUGGUAAUCGCAACACUUUGGGAGGCUGAGGCAG